UAAAAGUGGCGAACGGGCCAGCAACCGAUAACCAACAACUUGAAAACUAAAAGUACUUAACUGAAGAAAGCGACACGAGGCCAAGAGUGCAUUACAAUAACCAUACACCCCAAGUGUGUGUACUUGUUUAUUACAAAAGUUAAAGAGUGAAAGCAGGAAAAAGAAAGGCCCUAGACGGCUGGCGGAGGCUGUUAGCCCUUGUCCACAUCGCCCGCCAACGGAGGUUGUUGGCCCACAGUCGCCCCUCUCGUCGGUGGAGUCUGCUGGCACACUUCUGCGUUACCAGUCAGCGGCACCGCAUUUCUCGUAGAGGAUGCCGCAGCCCCGCCGGUGUAUACCUCGCCCGCCAUGUCUUCGGCAACAGGUGCCCCCGAGCUGGAGCCGACCUCUUCGUUGUCGUACUCAUUAUCGUAGCCAAGAGGGACACCAAACUGAUCCUCGGUGACAGGCCCGUUCAAAGACGCGUAACUAGGAAGCUUGUUGGCCCGAAGGGUGAUGGCAUCGUCGUGCUAUGCCAAGUCGGUUCGCACCUCCAACUGUACACUCGCGAGCUGGCCAAGGUUGAUGCCUGAAUACCAGGAGAGGGUGAAGGACAAGUCCAUCCAUGUGCCACCUCGCGCUACCAACACCGUCCGCGCAUCAAAAUACCCCAGGACAUCUGACCAAGAGAGAGAGCCUCGAUGAGGCCCUCACUCUCCGUGUGGAACCGCUUCAUGAACGCCUUCAUGUGGGUCAGGCAGACCUCACAGGCAAGGGCCACGUCCUCCAUCACCCAACUUGUGCUCUCAUCCACUUCUAUGCUACCCCGACAGAGCUUUGCCCGGUGCUGCGUGAUGGCUCGCUCCGCCCGCUGCUGAGUCUCUGGGAAGUGGGCUAGACCAACAAGAAAAAUGAGAAAAAGACAAGCCAAUCGCCGACCGACGAUGCUGCCAGCCGGACCCAGCCAAGGAAGAACCAAAGAACUUACCGAUGAAGGACUCGUCCACCUCGUGGAAGAGCUUGACUACGGCGGCCGCCUACCUCUCCAUCUUUGCCUUGCCCGCCUCCACCUUGCGAAGCUCCCCACCGAGUGGAACCACCUUAACACGAAGAGUUUCCGCCUCCUGCCCCCUUGUAGCCGAUGUCCUCGAUGCGUCCUUCUUGUCCGCCGCCUUCUAGUGGAGAGCCGCCACAAGCCGCUCCAACUCCGCCACAUGGGGGGGACUUCAACUGCUCCGUCACCACGCACACAACCUCCAACUCCUUCCCCAGCCAGUCGCGCUCGCCCGUGACCUCGUGACGCUUCCCUUGAAUGUUCACAAGCGCGCGACGUAGCUCCACUGCCUCAACUUCGGGGAUGGCCUCCUCUACAUCAUGGAAGCCGGUCAGCAGCCGUCGCGAGAAGAACUAUCUACUAAAAAUAUGAGAAGAUUUGGCCCGGCUGCAACCCAACCACGUAGCCCACCUGAUUCUCGGGGACUACUCCUC
rnacentral:lncRNA from 1 species